AGUUUGAAGGUUGUGGAAAUCACGCCACGCAAGUCUCUACGGAAGAUUACCCAAGGCGUCUUGCAGUCCCGCUUUCGGGAUAAUAUCCAAGGGCAAAGUUUGAAGGUUGGGCAAGUUAUGCCACCCAUGUCUCUGCGAAAUAUUACCCAUGGCGUGUUGCAAUGCUUCUUUUGGGAUACAUUCGAAGGGCAAAGUUUGAAGGUUGUGGAAAUCAUGCCACGCAAGUCUCUACGGAAGAUUACCCAAGGCGUCUUGCAAUCCCGCUUUCGGGAUAAUAUCCAAGG